UCCCUGGUGGUCCAGUGGUUAAGACUUGGUGCUUUCACUACGAGGGUCUGGGUUCAAUCCCAGGUCAGGGAA
rnacentral:tRNA from 1 species